rnacentral:rRNA from 1 species
CGCGGCCUAUCAGCUUGUUGGUGGGGUAAUGGCCUACCAAGGCGACGACGGGUAGCCGGCCUGAGAGGGCGACCGGCCACACUGGGACUGAGACACGGCCCAGACUCCUACGGGAGGCAGCAGUGGGGAAUAUUGCGCAAUGGGCGGAAGCCUGACGCAGCGACGCCGCGUGAGGGAUGAAGGCCUUCGGGUCGUAAACCUCUUUCAGUAGGGAAGAAGCGUGAGUGACGGUACCUGCAGAAGAAGCACCGGCUAACUACGUGCCAGCAGCCGCGGUAAUACGUAGGGUGCAAGCGUUGUCCGGAAUUAUUGGGCGUAAAGAGCUCGUAGGCGGUCUGUCGCGUCUGCUGUGAAAACUCAGGGCUUAACCCUGAGCUUGCAGUGGGUACGGGCAGACUAGAGUGCGGUAGGGGAGACUGGAAUUCCUGGUGUAGCGGUGAAAUGCGCAGAUAUCAGGAGGAACACCGGUGGCGAAGGCGGGUCUCUGGGCCGUAACUGACGCUGAGGAGCGAAAGCAUGGGGAGCGAACAGGAUUAGAUACCCUGGUAGUCCAUGCCGUAAACGUUGGGCGCUAGGUGUGGGGACCUUUCCAUGGUUUCCGUGCCGCAGCUAACGCAUUAAGCGCCCCGCCUGGGA